rnacentral:rRNA from 1 species
AUGGCCCUACGGGACGCAGCAGUGGGGAAUAUUGCACAAUGGGCGCAAGCCUGAACGAGCAAUGCCGCGUGAACGAGGCAGGUCUUCGGAUCGUAAAGUUCUGUUGAAGGGGAAAAAGAGCGGAGAGAGGAAAUGAACUCCGAUUGAUAUUACCCUUCGAGGAAGUCACGGCUAACUACGUGCCAGCAGCCGCGGUAAUACGUAGGUGGCGAGCGUUAUCCGGAAUGAUUGGGCGUAAAGGGUGCGUAGGCGGCCAGCUAAGUCUGGAGUGAAAGGUAACGGCUCAACCGGUACAGGCUAUGGAA